GUGUGUGUGUGGCUCUUGGGGGCUUUUCCCCGAAGAGGGAGAAGGGCAACCCUUCUCCCUCUUCGGGGAAAAGCCCCCAAGAGCCACACACACAC